rnacentral:lncRNA from 1 species
CCCCAAUACAAUAUUACCUCAAUACCUACUUUUUUUAACUUUCAUUUUCAAAAAUAAGGUAUCAAUAAAUUUUUUUUCCCUUCCACAUCAAAAAAAUCAAGUAUAUCAACGCCAAGCUACCAACCCUACACCAUCCCACCCCUCUAAACCAAACCCUCCCUCUCUCAACCAAGCCCUAAACUGCUAUCAAUCCACUCCAAGCCCUAUGGAGUUGCCACCUUCACUCUACCCCCAAACCACCACGUACAUCGCUAGACCCACCACCUACCGUCGAAGAAAUCACUUCCCAAACAUAAUUCCCACCUCCAUUAGCCCUACAACAUCAUACGAUGCCUAAAAUCUGCAAUAACCCUGUGGAGCUGCCAACCUCAAUCCAGCCUGAACCCCCACCUAUAAUCAACGGAAUUACAUUCCAAACACAACAUCCACCUUCAAUUGGUCCCCACAACACCAAGUGGAGACCAAAUUUUGCAAGAAAAAGCUUCGGGGUUCGUGAAUUGUGAAUUUUGAAAACUUUAAAUCCAACGUCGUUGAUGAGACUUACCAUUCAGACAUAUACCCAUGACGUCGCCACUCUAUUCCACCACAAUUCUAGCCAUGGGUCUUCAUCAAUUGGCACAGAAUUAGAUUAGGAAAUCAUUGUCUCGCAAUGCGUCCAAAACCUCAAGGCGGGUAUUGUAAGGUGACUGUAGAUCUGUGAUGGAAAGAGGAGUGCGACCAUUUUGGUGGUGGUUGUGGUUUUAAGGUGGUGAAGGUGUGUUGACUGUGGCAGUGGCGGUAGAUUUGAGACAAAAGUGGUAAUGGUGGUUGUGAAUUUGAGGAAAAGGUAGUGGUGAUGGCAAAUUACGUUGUUCAGACCUUAGGGUGGGAUACAUUAAAUAAUGUAUGUGAUUAAUGAAUGGGAU